AGCUACACAACGAGAUGAGGAUGGUCAUUGUCAUUUUCUGAGCGGCGAACGGGCAGAAAGCUACACAAGGAGAUGAGGAUGGUCAUUGUCAUUUUCUGAGCUG